rnacentral:rRNA from 1 species
AUUGAACGCUGGCGGCAGGCCUAACACAUGCAAGUCGAGCGGAUGAAGGGAGCUUGCUCCUGGAUUCAGCGGCGGACGGGUGAGUAAUGCCUAGGAAUCUGCCUGGUAGUGGGGGAUAACGUCCGGAAACGGGCGCUAAUACCGCAUACGUCCUGAGGGAGAAAGUGGGGGAUCUUCGGACCUCACGCUAUCAGAUGAGCCUAGGUCGGAUUAGCUAGUUGGUGGGGUAAAGGCCUACCAAGGCGACGAUCCGUAACUGGUCUGAGAGGAUGAUCAGUCACCCUGGAACGGAGACACGGUCCAGGCUCCUACGGGAGGCAGCAGUGGGGAAUAUUGGACAAUGGGCGAAAGCCUGAUCCAGCCAUGCCGCGUGUGUGAAGAAGGUCUUCGGAUUGUAAAGCACUUUAAGUUGUGAGGAAGGGCAGUAAGUUAAUACCUUGCUGUUUUGACGUUACCAACAGAAUAAGCACCGGCUAACUUCGUG